AGCGAACGCUAGCGGCGAGCUUGACACAUGCAAGUCGAGCGGAGGGUUUCGGCCCUCAGCGGCGGACGGGUGAGUAACACGUAGGUUACGUGCCCUUUGGUGGGGAAUAACUUAGGGAAACCUGAGCUAAUACCGCAUAUGCCCUUCGGGGUGAAAGUCUUCGGACGCCAGAGGAUCGGCCUGCGGCCCAUUAUUUAAUCCUUGUUGGUGGGGUAACGGCCUACCAAGGGUACGAUGGGUAGCUGGUCUGAGAGGAUGAUCAGCCACACUGGGACUGAGACACGGCCCAGACUCCUACGGGAGGCAGCAGUGGGGAAUAUUGGACAAUGGGGGAAACCCUGAUCCAGCUACGCCGCGUGGGUGAUGAAGGCCUUCGGGUUGUAAAGCCCUGUCGAGGGGGACGAAGUUCUGACGGUACCCCUCAAGAAAGCACCGGCUAACUCCGUG
rnacentral:rRNA from 1 species